rnacentral:rRNA from 1 species
GACGAACGCUGGCGGCGUGCUUAACACAUGCAAGUCGAACGGUGAUGCUCCAGCUUGCUGGAGUGGAUCAGUGGCGAACGGGUGAGUAACACGUGAGCAACCUGCCCCAGACUCUGGAAUAAGCGCUGGAAACGGCGUCUAAUACUGGAUACGAAACUGGCCCGCAUGGGCAUGGUUUGGAAAGUUUUUCGGUUUGGGAUGGGCUCGCGGCCUAUCAGCUUGUUGGUGAGGUAAUGGCUCACCAAGGCGACGACGGGUAGCCGGCCUGAGAGGGCGACCGGCCACACUGGGACUGAGACACGGCCCAGACUCCUACGGGAGGCAGCAGUGGGGAAUAUUGCACAAUGGGCGAAAGCCUGAUGCAGCGACGCCGCGUGAGGGAUGACGGCCUUCGGGUUGUAAACCUCUUUCAGCAGGGAAGAAGCGAAAGUGACGGUACCUGCAGAAGAAGCACCGGCUAACUACGAG